rnacentral:rRNA from 1 species
AUACCAGCUGCUGUAAGCAU